rnacentral:lncRNA from 1 species
CAAAUUCUUUCAAAUGUCAACACAACUAACCCUUCCAUAAACUCCAUAAAUGGAUCAUUUAAACAACAUAAUCAAAAUGACCAGGUCAUAUGAGGCCUCUGAAGGUGGGCAGAGCAUAUAAUAUUAACCAGACAUUUAGGGGAAUUUAUAUACACGAAUUACUAUCAGAGAAGCGGUAUGAGGGAAGAAUUGGAAUGGGUGCACACAAAGAAGGACUAAACAGCAGUGGUGUUUACAGCAUUAUCCUUGCGUGAAUGUUACAGUGGUUUCACAUUUUUGACAAAAAUGCUGCUGAUACACCUUUUCAGAUAGCUGGCAUUGGCAGGUGCUGCAAGUAUUACCCAUAUCACCCAUGUUUAUAUAUAUAUAUAUAACAGCACCCAUAUUCUUCUGAGUAGAGAUGGAGGAUUUAAACUGUCAGAAUUCUUCCCUUGUCACACAAUGGAGCCCUCGCCAUCUCGCCAAAACCCUCUUCAAGGCCCCUGUUACAUCUGUGUUUCUCAGGCUGUAGAUGAGAGGGUUUAACAAGGGGGUGAGGAUGGUGUAACAGGCAGAGAAGACCUUGUCUUUGGUUGGAGUGUGGUAGGAUUGGGGAAGCAUAUAGGUGUAAAGGGCAGCCCCGUAAAACAAGGUCACCACCAUUAUGUGUGAUGAGCAUGUGGCAAAGGCCUUCUUCUUGCCUUCUGCUGACUUCAUCUGGUGCACUGUGAUGAGAAUCUGGGCAUACGAAGAAAUCACCACGGAGAAAGGGAUUAGCAGCAUUAUGACACAGCAAAUGUACAUCACCCUUUCAUAGGUGGCCUUGUCACCACAGGCCAGCCUGAGCAUGGUAGGCGCCUCACAGAAGAAGUGGUCGAUCUUGUGGGAAGCACAGAAUGGGAGACUCAUGGUGAUAGGGGUGAGGAGGAAGCUGUCCAAAGCUCUGCUGAACCAAGAGCUGGCCAAGGUCAUCCAACAGAUGCGGUGAUUCAUGAGGACAGGAUAGCGGAGGGGGUUGCAGAUGGCCACGUAGCAGUCAUAGGCCAUGAGUCCCAGCAGGAAGAAUUCAGACCCCACAAAGCCCAUGUAGAGAAAGUACUGGGAUGUACAGGAGAUAAAGGAGAUGGUCCUCUUGCCCAUGAGAUAAUCAACCAGCGUCUUGGGCACAAUGGUGGAAGUGUACAUCAUGUCAAUGAAGGAGAGGUGGCUGAGCAGGAAGUACAUAGGAGUGUGGAGCCAAUGGUACUUUUCCCUUGGUUCUGCAUUGUUAUGUGUUUUGAAGGCUUUACAAGAAGGAACUUCCAUCCAGGUUAGUCUGGGGAAGUCCAGGUUGCAUCUUCUGUCCAGGAUCCCAUCUGGCUUAGCAUGUCUUCUUCCUCCUUUCACUCUCAGUAGCGUAAUUUUUUGGUUCAUCAUAACCUGAGACAUGGUGCCUGAAUAAAGUAUCUGAAGGACAUGCA